AAAAAAUCUGUCUUCUAGAUUCAAAGCAAAUUUGUCAAGCCAUGACUUAAAGGAUCUGCUGCUAAUGUCUUGGUGCCAAAUACAACAGGACACGUUCAGAGGUCUUGUGGCGUCCAUGCCUCGAUGCAGCACGAGGGGAACAAACAGUGAUCACCAGCACCAUUAAAACCACCUGUGUAAUAUCGUGUAAGGGUUUUAAUAUAUUAGUAAUUUCCUUGGCAUUACGGAUGUUUGUGAACUACAUUUCUCGUGACGCACUGCCACAAUUUGAGUCUUAGACAAAUAAAAUCUAUAUUUGAGUAAUUUUAUGGCUAACAGUGGGUCUGUGUCUGUAUUAUGAUAUGUGGCCUAAUUAGCUUAAAACAAACCCAGAGAUUUAAUUAAACCCUUACGAGGACCUUUUGAGAAGUUCUGGAGAUCUUGACUCUCAGAGAUCGGAGACGUUCAUGAUGUUAAGUAUAAUCCAUUGUGUUUGCACUUUAUUAAUAAUGCCUUUAUAACGUGAGUGCAGUUUUAAUGUUUUACUAAAUUGUUAUACGAACAAUAUCACACUGUGUGUACCUUCUUUGUUUUUAGUCUAUACAGAGGCUGACAAGUGGAGAAGCUUGUGUUUUCU